AUUGAACGCUGGCGGCAGGCUUAACACAUGCAAGUCGAGCGGGGUGAUGGUGCUUGCACUAUCACUUAGCGGCGGACGGGUGAGUAAUGCUUAGGAAUCUGCCUAUUAGUGGGGGACAACAUCUCGAAAGGGAUGCUAAUACCGCAUACGUCCUACGGGAGAAAGCAGGGGACCACUUGUGACCUUGCGCUAAUAGAUGAGCCUAAGUCGGAUUAGCUAGUUGGUAGGGUAAAGGCCUACCAAGGCGACGAUCUGUAGCGGGUCUGAGAGGAUGAUCCGCCACACUGGGACUGGGACACGGCCCAGACUCCUACGGGAGGCAGCAGUGGGGAAUAUUGGACAAUGGGGGGAACCCUGAUCCAGCCAUGCCGCGUGUGUGAAGAAGGCCUUAUGGUUGUAAAGCACUUUAAGCGAGGAGGAGGCUCUUUUGGUUAAUACCCAAGAUGAGUGGACGUUACUCGCAGAAUAAGCACCGGCUAACUCUGUGCCAGCCGCCGCCGUAA
rnacentral:rRNA from 1 species